GGAGCUACUGCGAGGGCGAGCGGCAGCGAGGUGGCGCGAUCGCCCUGGUGCCGCUGCUGCUGCUCUGUUUCUCGCCAGAAACGCAACGCAGGUGAAGAGAAAGGAGAAGGAAAGAAAGAAAAGAAGAGAAAGGAGGAAGAGAAGAAGAGGAGGUGGCAGUGGUGGCGCUGCUGGAGGUGUUGCAGAAAUGGUGAGGGGAGGGUGAAGUUUGCGCUGGAUAUAGAGGGGAGAGGCUUCUAGAAGUGGUUUGGGCUGAUUCGAUUUGAUUUCGAUUCGAUUCGGCCCAAAUCUUGGUUUUUGUUUGAUUUUUCAAUUUUCAAUUGGUUUUCGAUUCGGUUUAUCACUGUACAAAUUAUUAAUUCACGUUUAAAUAUUUAAAUACAUUUUCCACGCUGUCAGUUUAUUAAAUUUAAACGAAAAAUCUUUGAAAAUAAAAAUUCUGGUUAUUUCA
rnacentral:lncRNA from 1 species